AAACCUCCAGAAUCCAUUCAAGGACACUUUGCUAUGGUUUUUUCAUCAGUGAAAAUGCAAGACAAUGCCAGCUGUCCUGGCCAAGGAACUUUAGAAGUCACAAGCUCUCUAUCUCACAUGCAGAACACAGUAACUGCCCCCAGAGAACCAUGUUCCUGUGAAGAGGCACCAUCACCUCCUCCACCUGCAUGAAGGGCCUCAGACUCCCCUCUCACCUCCCAGUCCACAGGCAAACUCUGGGGUGUUUUCACUUUAUGUUGAUUGUAUGGAUGUCACCUGCACAUGCCCUGUGUGUCCUGGAGCUGCCGCCCACUCUCCUGAGCAGGAUGCUCACCAGGUCCUGCAGGUGCAGCACCACAGCACCAGCCCCCAGGGAGGGCAGACAUCCUUUGAAAUAUCAGAGGAAGCCUCCACAAACCCUGAACCUCAGCAUCCUGCAUUCCUUUAGAAGCAGCAUGACAUGCUGACCCCAAGGACUGUCACCAUCUUGAUAAGCAGCCAAGACUCCAGGAACCAUGUCCCUGUUUGCAGCAGCCUCUGAGUGUGAGGGCAGCUGAGCAUGGUGAAACACUCAGAGGUAGAGAACUGUGCAGCAUGCACAUGGCCUUGGUUUCCGUCAUCAGCACCAAAGG
rnacentral:lncRNA from 1 species